rnacentral:rRNA from 1 species
CGUGUAGGCGGUUCGAUUAGUCUGCUGUAAAAGUCGGGGGCUCAACCCCCAAAAGCCGGUGGAUACUGUCGGGCUAGAGUACGGAAGAGGCGAGUGGAAUUCCUGGUGUAGCGGUGAAAUGCGCAGAUAUCAGGAGGAACACCAAUUGCGAAGGCAGCUCGCUGGGACGUAACUGACGCUGAGACGCGAAAGCGUGGGGAGCAAACA